CGCUGCAACCACCUGCUUGCUCCGCGCCCCGGCCCGGAUCGAUACCAAAUAUCUGGAGCCCGGAAAUGGACCCGGGCGGUCCAGUACGGUGGGAGAGAGGAGACAGAAAGGCGGACAGGCGGGCGAACGGCAGGGCCCUGGUGGGAUGGGGUGGGGUAGGGAGGGGAGCGGCAGGUCUGUAACCGCAGUCGCUAGUAGCCGCGAGCACAGCUCUGCUCCGCCUGCUGUUGUCUCCUUUGUACUCCGGGAAGCACCAGGGGCUUGGCCCAGGCUGCACAACCUCCCCUAGGGCCCGGCCUCCCUCCCGCCCUAGGGGAGUGAGAUAGGGGCUUUGUGUCCCACAGCCCUAGACCGGAAGGCCACAGGGGUCACCAGAGGAUAAUUGUUCCGGUCCGCCGUAACAUUCUCAUGAUUAUUAUGUACACAUCUUGGAACAUAUCAGUAAGCUUAACAGAUUUUGGGCCUCCAUCAACCCAAAGCUAAGAAUGUUAUAACAUCUGAAACCUGUAGAAGAAACUUCUUUCUCUUGCUAUAGCCUGCUUACCUGAUGCUCCGGCCAAUGUAAUUGUCUACCACAAGCGAAGAGGUAAGAAGUGGUCUGACUGUUCCUUUGCUCUGUGACAGCCAGAAGGGAACAUGAUUCAACCGACAGGUGUGCUACCUUUCUCCCUUGCUUCCUUUCCCUCACCCUUGAUCCCUGGAGCAAGUUGGGCUGGAGUCAGUUGUCUUUCCACUACCCGGGGUUACAUCACAACAUAUCUCAGACUGCUCUGACAUGAGGCACAGCUAACCUGGCAGGAAUCGAACUCAGGACCUCGUGAUUGCCAGGCAGGAGAGCUCCUUUUACAAGAAGAGAUUUGGGGCUGGAUACCUGGCCCUGUCAGAGAUGACCACAAGGAGCUGUUUCCUGGGAGACUCUGUGUGCAUAACAAGCCAGCCCUUGUUUGCUGUAUACCUGCUUCCUUCAGCCUUCCACAGUUUGCAACAACUCCUUCACCCUUAAAUGUCCAAGCUCCAAUCCCUCGGUUUCUUUCUAUACAAGUGUCAAGCAUUUAAGGAGCUUUUGUGUCUCAUACUGUGUACAUGCAGCUUCCACAUUUAGGCAUAUCAGUCCAUUUGUUGUUCUUUUUUUUCUCCUGCCAGUUUGUUUAUAGACUAAAGUUGUUAAAAAUUCAGAAAAGAAUAAAUUUAAAAUUG